UUGAACAAGUAAGAAGACUCUAGUCGAGACUGCUCGACUAGGAGUUACCCUGAACUAGGGAAAACAAUCGAUGGUACUAUCGAUACUAUCGAUGGUUUUCUAAAACGGCUAUACCUCGAUAUUAUUUUCGUCUAUCGAUAGUCUGACAUUAAAAAAAGUGAGCGUUAAGUUGGCGAACGCCAAUCCCGAAGAACGCAAAAUGAGCCUUACGAGCUUGUGUGCCAAAAUAAGUAAUAUUGAAAGAACUAGUUCAGUGGCUCAGUUAGUCACAGACAAUGCGAAUUCCAUGGUCAAAGCCUGUGAAAUUCUUGCAAAAAAUCAUUUACCCUGCUUUGCGCAUUGUAUCAAUUUAUUGGUGCAGGAUGAUUUGUCUCUUGAAAAUAUAAAAUCCUUAAUACGCACUGUAAAACAAAUUGUGACAUAUUUCAAUAGCAGUUCUAUUCAGUAUGCUAAACUUAAGAAUGCUCAAGAGCGGGAAAACCCAUACAGUCUUAUUCAAGAAGUUCCCACUAGAUGAAAUAGCGCUUUACAUAUGAUGCAACGGAUAUUAUUGGUCAGGGAUGAUAUCGGUCACGUCCUUUUAAAUUGUUCAAAAGCACCAUCAACUUUGAAUAACGACCAAUAUGAUUGCAUCGCAGACUUAUGCGACAUUUUAAAACAUUUUGACGAAGUCACCAAAAAAGCAUCAGGAGUAAAGGCAGUAUCAGUGUCAUUAAUCAUACCAUGUGUUUUUGGCUUGGGAUGCACCAUGGAUGGACUUAAGACAAAAAAUGAGGAUUUCAAUUGAUUCCGAAACUUGCACUUUUAUUAAAAAUCGGAUCAAAAUAAGACUGUCACAUUAUCAAACCAGAACCGUUCCACGCUUGGUCACAAUGUUGGACCCAAGGUUCAAAAACGAAGCUUUUGGAAAUGCUGUCAAUGCUCAAGAAGCCUCGACAAUUUUAGAAACGAAAGUGAAGAGCAUAAUAAAUGUUGAAAAAAUGACCCAGUAACUGAUUUACAGCCAACGCACCCUGACAAUGUUCUUACAUUUUUGGCCGAUAGAAUUCAGCGGAAACAACGAACUUGUAUGUCAGAUGCAAUAAGCGCCAUGAGGCAAUACAUUGAGGAGAGAAAUGCUGAUCAUGAUAUUGACCCCUUGGAGUACUGGAAGAUUAAUGCGCAACAUUUUAGUCACGUCGCACAGUGCGCUCGCAAGUACCUUUGCGUUCCGGCAAGCUCCACCGAGUCGAAGAGAACUUUCAGUAAAGCUGGUUAAAUUAUUGGCACACGUCGGUCCCGCCUUAAAACAAAAUAUGUGGACGUCUUACUGUUCUUAAAUAAAAACAUCUGGCUCCUAGAUGGAUAGCUGUAAUAUUAUAUUUGUUGAAGAUUUUCGGUUUAAGUUGUUUAAAUACUUUUAAGUUUGAAUAUUGUUUUGUUUUCCUUUUUUAUCUUAUAUUACAUUCCAUUACAUAUUUACCUAUUACUGCUAUGAAAAUUAUGAAUGAAUCUAUUUUUAAGUUGCUUCAAAUA